CGUCUCGUCGGCGAAAGGUGUGCAUUAAUCAUGACGGUCGAAUCCGCGAGAGUCGAAGCUCGGCAGUCAAGCGUGGCGACGAGCGACUCCCCGGUCGUUUGUCACUGCGCGCGCCUCCUACGAUUCUCCUUUGAGCAGAUCCUUGAUGGAAACGCGACCACGCGGAGCGGACUGUAUAGUUUUCGUUUCAGACUGAUGCGUGCGCAUACGUGUUACUGUCGCGUGUGCUACAAUGAAUGCGCUUUUAUGGGAACCGAUAGGUAAUUACUUUCGGUGAGAUUGAUAUUAUUUUUUCUUUGAAUACAUAGAUAAGUUCAUUAUAAUAGUAUAAUAAAAUGGGAGAAAUAUUAUGAAGAUUUAUUGGUAAUUUUGACAGAUAUGGAUUAUAUUUAUCGUUGGUAUUUGGAAAAUUGAUAUGUAAUUGUGAGGAUUUAUUGUAGGGGGAAAUUUUUUUUUCUUUUGUAUUAAGUUAAACAUUAAUGAAAAUUAAUACAUAAAAUCCUUGUUAUUUUUUUAAAAAUCCAUUUAUUAAACGGAAGAAGAAGAAGAAAAUUUAAUUAUAAAAAUUAUACUCUGUUGUACCGUAUUUUUCGUAGGAAAAAAAAGUCAUAUUAAGGAAAGAAAGUCUCUUUACUAAAGCAUCGAACCUUUUUCACCACCAAUUUUCUCUAUCUUCGCUCAGGGAAGAGCGAUAUGAGCUCGCCCUAGUUUCUAGAGUUAUCGUGUAUAAACCGGUGCCAGCGAAGAUGUUUGAUCCCUGAAAGUCCACGAGAAAACGUGGAGAGCAAAAGGAACGAUAAAAUAGAAACGAACGAGGCGUUCAAUUGAAUCGUCGGUUAGAUAAUGGAUUUACGAUAUUUAUUGUUAGAAAAUCAAUCUAUUUGGACAAAUCUUUAAUUAAAAACGAACCUAAAUGGAGAAAUGGAAUACUGGUAUGAGAAAUUAUCGUCUUGAAAUAUCUUUGCAGAUAAAUAUUUAUAUUUUUGACAAUAAUAUAUCUGCUUUUCUCGAGCAAUGAUUAUUUUAUUUUGCACGUGUACUUUGCUAUAUGUAAGAUCCCUUCACGAAGGAACAUCCAUUUCUUCAGAAUGUACGCACACGCCCUUUGCAAAUAGGCAGUAAACUUCUUUGGAUAUAUAUGCAUUUCACCCUCCUCGAGUAGAGGCCACUUUUAUAGAUCAUAUACACGGACCUUUUGCGAAUAAAUGUUCUCUUAUCAAGUGCGUACGCUCCAUUAUACAUAAAUACACAAAUACGUACAUUUUCUGAAAUGCAUAUAUCUGUAAUGUAAAUUUGAGAACCCGAAAGAAAUUGUAAUAUUAUUAAAAUAUAAUACAAUAUACAAAAUUUUGACAAGCUUUAAUAAUUUUCAUCAAGUAGUAACGGUCAAUAAUCGAAGCGACACGAUCCAAAACCAUUCUUUUUUGAUUAGUUUAUUCUCAUUAAAAUAUCUGCCCGUAAUUCACGCUAUUGCAAAUAUAUACAUUUCUCCAAGAUUCAUCCCAAAACGGCAAAUGAAAUGACAUUUUUUCGAUGUAGCCAUUUCUCCUUUUCUCGAACGAGUUCGAACGGCCAGAAACUUGUGUCCCUUUUCAACAAAGAAUUCGAUCUAACUCAAAGUCUCAAGCAAGCGUGGCAACUUGCGAGAGCGUCAGAAUUGAAGCGAAAAUUCCGAAUUCCCUAGAUAUUCGCCGAAUACGUGGCGGCAGACUUGCGAACUAUCGCGAUGAAACCUCUCUCUCUCUCUCUCUCUCUCUCCACACACAUACACAGCCAGCUAUUCGCCGCUCAAAAAUUUCGAUCGCGAUUCUCAUGCAGAAACGCGCUUCGGCAGUGAAAAACUGGAUCGCAUGCAAAAUUGAUCAGCCGCGAGUGGUGAAGAGUUUGGAACGCUUGGCCGAAACUCGACACGAGGGCCAACGGUCAACGUCGCCUCGUUUGCGCUUCCUUGUCCACCGGCAUCUCACUUUUCGCCCCGUCGUCUCUGUUUUCUAUUCCGAGGGCCGAUAUUGAUCCCACCGCGUGACGCUGGCUGCCCGCUCAUUACUUUAUACUACGCUUGUACAUGUCGUUUCCUUGCACACGGCAGGCAAAAUAUUAUACUCGAAUACGUUACAGGAUUUCCGAUCGAAAAAUUAUGCGUCACGCUCUCAAGAUGGAAUUACCAUUUUUUUAUCAUCGAGAUGUGAAUAUCGGAUAAGGAUCGGAUAAAGUCGAGUAUAAUUCUGGCAUCGCCAAGAUGGCAUCGCUCGAGAAAGACGUCUUUAAUUUCGUCUCUAGCCACUAAUUUUCCCCUAGCGGCGCGUAGUGCAAUCUCGCAUAAGAAUUACAUACAAAAUGUGUCGCACGGUGGCGCGCGGUUCGCGCAAAAACGAGAAAGAGUACGUGCGUUACAUGCAUGCCGCGGAAUAUUUUAUUCGCUUACUUAAUACGCCACGUAUUUGCGACUCACGCUGCUUAAUAUUCGUGGUACGAGGGGGUGGAAGGAAAGUGAGUCCGGUUUACGUAAGUGCACGCUGGCAAUCGCAUUUUCCGAGGCGGGUAGAACGAAGACAUAGUGAAUAUUCGAAAAUAAAUACGGAGCAUUCAAUUUCAGACUGCGGACAAGGAAAAGAAAGAGCGAGGGCAAGAAUAGUUGGAUAGAGAAAGAGAAAAAGAAGAGCGUAAUAGGAAAUCGAGCCGAGAGAUAGCGCCACAGGCCGGAACGAAAGAAGAGAGAUUUAGUGGAAGAGAACGAAAUGUAAGAGGUUAAUUGGAAUACAUAACUACUUCGCGGCGCGUGUGUCGAUGUGUAUCUUUCGUGACAGCUAGAUGUCUCUUACUUGCCACACUCUCUUAUUAGUCGGGAAUCAUUUGUGCGUACAACAAAAUGUGAUCGUAUUUUACUCGUAUGUUACAAAUAACGACUCGAUGUUACAUACGGUAAUCGUCAGCAUAAGUCGACUACGUGAAUUUUGUAGGUUAUACGGCUUGAUUCUUUUUCGCGACCAGGUAAAUGUUUUCUUCGCUUCGUUGCAGGCGGAGUCUCGUCAUUAACGGUUAACGGCCGUCGACUGUCGCGCGCGUUUAUUUACAUUGGGACACGGAAUAUGCUGUGGUGCACUUUGAGUGAGAGAGCGGCGAGAUGCAUAAGGGGAUGUUUGUUGAAGCGAGUGGAACUGGAGAGGAUGUGAAUAAGAUAGAAAAAAGAAAGAAAGAGUAUCUUGCAUUUUAUAUCUUGAAUUUUGCAUUUGAAUUAAAUGAAAUAUUUAUAAUCACGAAAAAAAUUCUUAGAUAAUAAUAAUAACAAUAAUGAUAAUAAAAGAAUGCUAAUGAGAGAAUGAAUAUCGAACAGUUUGAAUUAGAAACAAUUCUUCUAACGCUAAAUAUCAGAAAUUUUAUUUUCUUUUAAUGAUAAUUGUGUUCAUCAACUCUGUGAACGAAUGACAGAAAGAAAGGAUAAGCAUGAAUUUCAAUGAAUGCUUACAUUGUCAUUUACGCUGGGUAUGGUAUGGUAGUUUACAUUGAUUGCACGCUGCAGCUACUAAGCAAUGAAUUACUACACUCUCUCUUCUCAAUCGUCCAAUUCUAAUAUCGGUUUCGACUCUCGUUAUAACCUAUACCACCAUCGAAUUGUUUUCUUUUGCCACUCUUCGUUUUAUACACGCAGUCAGUCAUAUUUGUUUCUUCGUCUUCACCUAUUUAUAAACUCGCCGAUACGUAUACGCUAUUCCCGCACUCAGUUGAAUGCGUUUAUUUAUUCAGCUGUUUGCACUUGCGAGCGAGCGGAAUCAUGAACGGCUCGCGCACGUGUUAAUGGCGGUGGAAGCGUGUUCACGAGUCACGUGAUGUCAACUCCGCCACGGCAUAAUUUGCGUAUUAUUUAUGGCGUUGUGCUGCAACUCGAGAAAAGAAUUUUGAAGAACAUGAGAAUAGCUUAAGGACAUGAUUGUGUGAGUUUGUGAUAUUUUUUCCGUUCUAAACAAAUAAACGUAACCUCGACCUUACACGAUGAAAAUGUAAUUGUGUAAAAUGAAAAGUGAGAAAGAGUAUACAAAAAUAAAACGAUUGGAGAAAACAGAAAUACGCGAUUGGGUAACGAGUAAUUGAUCUCGUAUAUACAGUACUAAUAGUUUCACAAGUGCCUAAGUUUCAAGAUCAUCAAUUCACGGUCCAUCACAAACAGAAGUGUUAGUAAGACAAUUUGCAUUUCUGUUUAGAUUCGAUUUAUGUUACUAGUACUACAUCUUAAUUCCUUGUACAUAUUCGCUACGAUAAACGGAUUGCUAUAUUUGCAUUAUAAAAAUUUGAAAUUUCUAAAAA